rnacentral:tRNA from 1 species
GGCCUCGUAGCUCAUUUGGAUUGAGCGUUGGCGGUAACAAAGCCUCCCUUUUGCUGGCGUGGGUUCGAAUCCCACCUAGGCCA